GGACAACCCAGUAAUCAACGCUCCAUCCACAAGCAGUGGUGCGGCGCCAGUCUUCAACAGCGCGCCCGGCGUUAGUGGGAAACAAUGGCAGUAGUAACUGAUGAGUGCAGUUUCUCUGGCCUGGGGAAGAGGGGUAGUAAAAUCCUCACGGACUCGUAUUUGAGAGAGCCUGCCUGCAUGUGAAGGCAACGCAGAAAAGAGCAGAGCCCUAAACGAGAAAGAAUGAGGAAGGUAGCGAGAGGAGCAGGAGCAAGAAACAGAUGACAGAGAGAGAAACUGAGAGGGAAGAUGCAAGAGCAAGCAAACAUCUUGAAGAAAUAAUUUGAGUAACUGGAUCCAGCUAUGCCUGAAGCCAGCCAGAUACACUCCAAAACUUUCCAGUUUAUGAGAGCCAUCUCUGUCACCCAGGCUGGAGUGCAGUGGUGCAAUCUCGGCUCAACCUCCACCUCCCAGUUUCAAGUGAUUCUCCUGUCUCAGCCUCCCGAGUAGCUGGGACUACAGAUGAACACAUUGAGUUUCUGUGGUUGCUUGGUAGCUUUUGGACAUCAGACUUUUCCAUUUUCUGCUCUAGAACUGGCCUGCUCUUCAGGAUUGGGCUGUUUGUCUUUGCCUCUGCCUGGCCAUGGGAACAUGACAGGGUUAGCUGGCUGAAAGGAUAAGAGAGCGAUACGGACCAGAAUGGCCUAGUUUUCUCCAGCCGAUCCCAUAUGUAUGCGCCCUCAGUUGCAACCUCACCAGCUGCCUUCCAGACCUGGGAGCAAACCCAGCUGAGACCAGAACUGUCCAGCCUAAAUCACUGAUUUACAGAAUCAGGAGCUAAAUAAAUGAUUAUUGUUUUGAGCCA
rnacentral:lncRNA from 13 species